rnacentral:rRNA from 1 species
UACGUAGGGUGCGAGCGUUGUCCGGAAUUACUGGGCGUAAAGAGCUCGUAGGUGGUUUGUCGCGUUGUUCGUGAAAACUCACAGCUCAACUGUGGGCGUGCGGGCGAUACGGGCAGACUGGAGUACUGCAGGGGAGACUGGAAUUCCUGGUGUAGCGGUGGAAUGCGCAGAUAUCAGGAGGAACACCGGUGGCGAAGGCGGGUCUCUGGGUAGUAACUGACGCUGAGGAGCGAAAGCGUGGGGAGCGAACAGG